rnacentral:rRNA from 1 species
AAAACUUUCAACAACGGAUCUCUUGGCUCUGGCAUCGAUGAAGAACGCAGCGAAAUGCGAUAAGUAAUGUGAAUUGCAGAAUUCAGUGAAUCAUCGAAUCUUUGAACGCACAUUGCGCCCGCCAGUAUUCUGGCGGGCAUGCCUGUUCGAGCGUCAU